UACGUAGGGGGCUAGCGUUGUCCGGAAUCAUUGGGCGUAAAGCGCGUGUAGGCGGCCCGAUAAGUCCGCUGUGAAAGUCCAGGGCUCAACCCUGGGAUGCCGGUGGAUACUGUCGGGCUAGAGUCCGGAAGAGGCGAGUGGAAUUCCUGGUGUAGCGGUGGAAUGCGCAGAUAUCAGGAGGAACACCAGUGCGAAGGCGGCUC
rnacentral:rRNA from 1 species